UUCCACUUUUCUUAGAAAAGCGAAGCCCACCGUAUCUGCUGUUCUAAGCAUAAUGAAGCUUACCUACUCUAGACUUUCACUGGUGCUGUUUCUGAGCGCCGUGUUACUGGCGUGUUACUUUACAACAAACCCUAGGAAAACAAUUUGGGGACAGGGCAAGUAGGGAAGAAAAAUGAAAUAAAAAGUUGCAAAAAUUGUUCUGUAUUUCUGGUUUCGUGCAAGUCUGAAGUUCGAAUAAUAAAAUGUAAGAUUCCGGACCAACAAAA